rnacentral:rRNA from 1 species
CCUACGGGAGGCAGCAGUGGGGAAUAUUGCGCAAUGGGCGAAAGCCUGACGCAGCGACGCCGCGUGAGGGAUGAAGGUCUUCGGAUCGUAAACCUCUGUCAGCAGGGAAGCACGGUCACUGUGCUAAUCAGCAGUGAAUUGACGGUACCUGCAAAGGAAGCACCGGCUAACUCCGUGCCAGCAGCCGCGGUAAUACGGAGGGUGCGAGCGUUAAUCGGAAUUACUGGGCGUAAAGCGCUCGUAGGCGGUAUGUCAAGUCAAGGGUGAAAUCCCCGCGCUCAACGUGGGAACUGCCUUUGAAACUGGCAAACGUGAGAGUGUGAGAGGAUAGUGGAAUUCCAGGUGUAGGAGUGAAAUCCGUAGAUAUCGGGAGGAACAUCAGUGGCGAAGGCGACUAUCCGGCACAUAUAUGACGCUGAGGAGCGAAAGCGUGGGUAGCAAACAGGAUUAGAUACCCCAGUAGUC